rnacentral:rRNA from 1 species
GGCUCUUUGAAAUUGACACAUAAAGAGUCGGACCUGCCCAGUGAUAAAUUCUUUUAACGGCCGCGGUACUCUGACCGUGCGAAGGUAGCAUAAUCAUUUGCCCUAUAAUUGAGGGCUAGUAUGAAUGGUUUGACAUGAGCGUAGCUGUCUCCCUAAAAUUUUGUAAAAUUUGGUUUUUAGGUGAAGAAACCUAAAUUAAAUUGAAAGACAAGAAGACCCUAUCGAGCUUUAGAAUAGUUAAUUAAAAAAUAUAAAUAAAACAAUUAAUUUUAAUUAAAUACUUUGGUUGGGGCGACUGAGGAACAUAUAAAGCUUCCUUAAUUAAAUAAUGCUAAUAAGCAAUGAUCCAGAAAAUCUGAUUAAAAAAAUUAGUUACCGUAGGGAUAACAGCAUAAUCUUUUUUGAGAGCUCUUAUCGAAAAAAAGGUUUGUGACCUCGAUGUUGGACUAGGAUAUCCUAAAGAUGCAGAAGUCUUUAAUGGUUGCUCUGUUCGAGCAUAAAAAUCCU